rnacentral:SRP_RNA from 11 species
UAUGGGCCUGCCUGGAAAAGCUGAAGCCACCGUUGGCCAGGGAACGGGGUCGGCAGCGGAGGCUGGAAGCAGAGCAGCAAUAGCU